rnacentral:rRNA from 1 species
UACGUAGGUGGCAAGCGUUGUCCGGAUUUACUGGGAGUAAAGGAUGCGUAGGCGGAUGUUUAAGUGAGAUGUGAAAUACCCGAGCUCAACUUGGGUGCUGCAUUUCAAACUGGAUAUCUAGAGUGCAGGAGAGGAAAGCGGAAUUCCUAGUGUAGCGGUGAAAUGCGUAGAGAUUAGGAAGAACACCAGUGGCGAAGGCGGCUUUCUGGACUGUAACUGACGCUGAGGCAUGAAAGCGUGGGGAGCAUACAGG